GCUCUGGUGACCAAGUGGUUAGAGCAUCCGCCUCUGAUGUGGGAGGUCGUGGGUUCGAUCCUCGGUCAAGUCA